rnacentral:rRNA from 1 species
CCUACGGGAGGCAGCAGUGAGGAAUAUUGGUCAAUGGGCGAAAGCCUGAAGCAGCCAAGUAGCGUGAAGGAUGACGGCCCUACGGGUGGUAAACUUCUUUGAUAGAGGAGUAAAGGGAGGCACGUUAGCAUUAUUGAAUGUACUUUAUGGAGAAGGAUCGGCUAACUCCGUGCCAGCAGCCGCGGUAAUACGGAGGAUCCGAGCGUUAUCCGGAUUUAUUGGGCUUAAAGGGAGCGUAGAUGGGUUGUUAAGUCAGUUGUGAAAGUCUGUGGCUAAACCGUAAAACUGCAAUUGAUACUGGUAGUCUUGAGUACAGUAGAGGUAGGCGGAAUUCGUGGUGUAGCGGUGAAAUGCGUAGAUAUCACGAAGAACUCCGAUUGCGAAGGCAGCCUACUAAAACGCCACUGACACUGAUGCUCGAAAGCGUGGGGAUCAAACAGGAUUAGAUACCCGUGUAGUC